rnacentral:lncRNA from 1 species
GAGGAGAAACCAAGGUUUGCAUUGGCAACCUGGGAAUUGGUGCUGGAAAAGAAAAAUUAGGAAGGGCUUUCAAUUCCCAGGUUUCUUAAGAACAGUAUGGACUGUGAGAAAUGCUCCAGGAAUUGCCUUUGUGGAAUCUGAGGAUCCCAGAAAUGCAGAAGAUGCAGUUCGAGGACUGGAUGGCAAGCUGAUCUGUGGUCCUCCAGUAAGGAUGAACUAUCAACAAGAAUGCUUCAGAGAUCUCAUUUUGUUAGGCACCUGACUAGCUCCCCUUGGAUCCUAAUGGUAGAUGCCAUGAGUGUGGUGAAAAGAGACAUUAUGCUUCUGACUAUCAUUGCUAUAGCCAUCCAAGAAGAAGCAGGGAAGGAAGAGUCAGGUUGCCUAUCCAUGGGAAGGUGGCACUCUCACACAGCAGAAGCCAGGGAAGGGGUCAACAUCACCAUCUCCUGGACAAUACAGGUCUGAGUCUCUUUUAAGGUCUGGCUCAAGAACCAGGGGUAUUUCAUGUUCAAGAAGCAACCAACCAAAAUUCAUAUCUCCAACACCUAAAAGGAGUCAUUCCCCAUCAGGAAGACCAGACAGAAGUGAAGCCCUGAAGGAAUGGACUAA